rnacentral:rRNA from 1 species
UAGGGAAUCUUCCACAAUGGACGCAAGUCUGAUGGAGCAACGCCGCGUGAGUGAAGAAGGUUUUCGGACCGUAAAGCUCUGUUGUUGGUGAAGAAGGAUAGAGGUAGUAACUGGCCUUUAUUUGACGGUAAUCAACCAGAAAGUCACGGCUAACUACGUGCCAGCAGCCGCGGUAAUACGUAGGUGGCAAGCGUUGUCCGGAUUUAUUGGGCGUAAAGCGAGCGCAGGCGGAAGAAUAAGUCUGAUGUGAAAGCCCUCGGCUUAACCGAGGAAUUGCAUCGGAAACUGUUUUCUUGAGUGCAGAAGAGGAGAGUAGAACUCCAUGUGUAGCGGUGGAAUGCGUAGAUAUAUGGAAGAAUACCAGUGGCGAAGGCGGCUCUCUGGUCUGCAACUGACGCUGAGGCUCGAAAGCAUGGGUAGCGAACAGGAUUAGAUACCCUGGUAGUCCAUGCCGUAAACGAUGAGUGCUAAGUGUUGGGAGGCUUCCGCCUCUCAGUGCUGCAGCUAACGCAUUAAGCACUCCGCCUGGGGGAGUACGACCGCAAGGUCGAAAC